GACGAACGCUGGCGGCGUGCUUAACACAUGCAAGUCGAACGGAAAGGCCCUGCUUUUGUGGGGUGCUCGAGUGGCGAACGGGUGAGUAACACGUGAGUAACCUGCCCUUGACUUUGGGAUAACUUCAGGAAAAUGGGGCUAAUACCGGAUAGGAGCUCCUGCUGCAUGGUGGGGGUUGGAAAGUUUCGGCGGUUGGGGAUGGACUCGCGGCUUAUCGGCUUGUUGGUGGGGUAGUGGCUUACCAAGGCUUUGACGGGUAGCCGGCCUGAGAGGGUGACCGGCCACAUUGGGACUGAGAUACGGCCCAGACUCCUACGGGAGGCAGCAGUGGGGAAUAUUGCACAAUGGGCGGAAGCCUGAUGCAGCAACGCCGCGUGCGGGAUGACGGCCUUCGGGUUGUAAACCGCUUUCGCCUGUGACGAAGCGUGAGUGACGGUAAUGGGUAAAGAAGCACCGGCUAACUACGUG
rnacentral:rRNA from 1 species